ACAGAGUGAACAUGAAUGGUAAUUAAUACACACGUUUAGAGAGUAUCUUCGAUUUCGGCCAGUCAUGUGAUCAAUCGAUCGGGGCUAUAAUCCCGUUCAAGAUGGCUGCGGGAGUGCAGUCGAUGUGUCAGUAUUGGAAAGACUUCGAUCUACAAGAACUGCAGAAACAACUAGAUGCAACAGCCACUGAAUUGGCCAAUAGACAGGACGAAAGUGAUGCCUCACGAAAAAGACUCGUAGAACAAAGCAGAGAUUUCAAGAAAAACACACCAGAGGAAUUACGUAAACUUGUGGCACCCCUAUUGAAAAGUUUCCAAGCAGAAGUUGACUCGCUGUCCAAACGAAGCAAGGCAGCAGAAGGAGCGUUCUUGUCUGUGUAUAGAAAGAUUAUUGACCUUCCAGAUCCUGUGUCCGUACUUGAAUAUGCCUCACAACUUCAGAAGAAAGCACAUCGAGUCAGUGAUUUGGAGAUUGAAAACAAACAGCUUCGGGAGACACUGGAAGAAUACAAUCAUGAAUUUGCUGAAGUGAAAAACCAAGAGGUGACUAUCAAACAGUUAAAGGAACGACUUCGAGACUGUGAGGAGAAGAUAGAAGCUACAGCAGAGACGAGGACCAAAGAGAAGGAGAGGGAGUUACAGAGGAACUUUGCAGACAAGGAGCGGCAACUACAAGAGAGUCAGUUGUCUGUGGCACGCAAACUCGGUGAAGCAGAACAGAAGGUGUCCACUCUCCAUGCAUCUUUGGAACAUGUACAACAGGAGCUGUUUGAAGUCAAGUCCAAGUACGAUGAGACGACGUCCGCAAAGUCAGAUGAAAUGGAAAUGGUGAUGGCUGACCUGGAGCGUGCCAAUGAGAGAGCAGCUGCAACAGAACGACAGGUAGAGCAACUACAGCAGCAGUUGACAAAAGCAGUGACACGAGACCAACCAGGCACGACUGAGAGCCUGGUCUCACCCAAUGUAGAGCAGGCUAUGGACAUCCUUCAGCGCUCAAGCCUUGAGGUGGAGCUCGCCGCCAAGGAGAAGGAGAUUGCUCAGCUUGUGGACGAUGUUCAGCGGCUACAGGCAUCUCUGAACAAACUGAGGGAGUCCUCAACCAAUCAGGUGUCUAAGCUGGAGGAAGAACUAACUCUAAAAAAUGAGGCAUUCAGAGUGAUGGAGGAAAAGAUGCGGUCACAGGGAGACUAUGAGGAGGUGAAACGUGAACUUGUCGUGCUCAAAUCCAUCGAGUUUUCCCAAAGGACUGAAGAAUCCGGAGAUGAUAACAAAUCCAAGUCUCUGGAGAUGCUACUUUUGGAGAAAAACAAGAGUCUCCAGUCGGAAAACACUACAGUGAAAGUGGCCAAGAGCGAGAUGUCAGGCGAUUCAACCCCCGCUCUCUCCGAAAAUGCCGAAGCAUUCGCGUCAAUGUUGGGCGAAGAAAUUGCAGCAACAUACCAGCAGCAGCAAAGGGAACAACAACAACAACAACAGCGGGAGCAGUCGCAGCAACAUCAGGAUGUGUCCCGGAUUUCAACCCCCUCCACGCCCUCCAGUGGUAGUGGGGGUGGGGUCGAGUCAGACAAAUCCUCACCAAAACGAACAUUUGAACGAGUACCCAGCAUUCCUAGUUCUGAUGUGUCACAAAUUCCUCCGCCAUCGCCACAGUUCUUCCCUUUUGGAAAUGGACCUUUAAUAUCAAACUAUGUGGGGCUAGGCGGUGUGGUGAAGCAAGAGUCCAGUAACUCCCAGGGCCUUGAUACGGCCCUCGUGGCAAAGACAAUACGGGAACUUUUGAGUAUACACAAUAUUGGUCAGCGCCUGUUCGCUAAACAUGUGUUAGGCCUUUCACAGGGUACGGUCAGCGAACUGCUGUCCAAACCCAAGUCUUGGGACAAACUGACAGAGAAGGGGCGAGAAUCAUACCGGAAGAUGUACCAGUGGGCCACUGACGAUCGCAACAUUCUAAGCCUCAAGGCUAUAUCACCAAAGAAAACAAACAAGGCAGCAACAGCGGCAGUCACCGCGGUAACUGGUGGCAGUGGUGGGAUGUCAUCAUCUGUGUUUAACUCUCUGCUCCCCGUAAUGUUCACAGGCUCGCAGCACCUUGUGCCUAGCGUGCAGCAUGAUGACUCGCACACCGAGGAACGCAUUGCUCAAAUCCUUAAUGAUGCUCAAAAAGCUAUGCAUAUGAAAAAAGCCAUGGAACAGCACCAGGUGGCAUCGGCCAUGGCUAGUAGCAUAUACCAGCAGGAGAUGACACGACUUGCCCAAGUUUCUGACCACCAGGUGGCACUACGCAGUCCGAACUCUGUGUCCUCAUCCAAUCAUGCACAUCACACAUCUCACUCACGGAAAUACAGUAUGGAUGGAGAGCGACAUAGAGACAGUGUGGAAAACUCUGUGUCCUCCAAAGAAAUGGUUGAACGCAUCUACAGACAAGAACUCCUCAAGCUGGCGAAAGCCGCUGAAAGUGCAGGAAACCUUGCUGCCAGCUCCAUGUACCAGCAGGAGCUAGCACGCCUUGCUGUAAAUGUGCAGAAGGAGGACCAGGAGCCUGGUGAGAUACGUCGCUCACACAGUUCGCCAGAGAACAUGACAGUAAAGACCGAGCCUCCAGAUAGUACCUCAGAUGAUUUGGGGGCGGCACAGUUUAACGGUUUCCAGUCUAAUGGGCCCAUCGACCUGAGUAAGCAUAGCAACUCGGCACCAACAACCCCCACCUCUGGCAGCUCCGACAAGUCGCCCUCUGACCCUAUUCAUCAUGCAGGAAGUGCCUUUUUUUUAGUUAGACCGAAGAUGAAUGGUCACGAGAACGGCUACGACAAACCUCGCUUUGGAUCCUACGCCCCAGCAGAGUGUAUAUCGCCACUACAACGCAUGCAAAGCAUUGCCAACUCUGUGAUGUCACGACCCCAUGUGGGCGUGUCCUCUAACAAACCCCUGAGGGCAGUGCUGCCCCCUAUUACACAAGAACAGUUUGACAAGUACGGCACCAUUGGCACAGAGGAGCUGGUUAAACAGGUUAAAGAAACAUUAAGUCAGUAUUCGAUCAGUCAGCGCCUGUUUGGGGAGAGUGUUCUAGGCCUAUCCCAGGGCUCUGUCAGCGAUCUCCUUGCACGCCCCAAACCCUGGCACAUGCUCACACAAAAAGGGAGAGAACCCUUCAUUAGAAUGCAGAUCUUUCUAGAGGACGGUGAGGCUAUCCCCAAACUGGUGGCAUCGCAGUAUCACAUCCCGCCAGAGAAACUGAUGAGAUCGGCCAUUGUCCGUGUACCAGGAGAACAAUUGUCGCCCCUGGAAAAGUCGACCCCUGUAGCUGUCGCGAGCACCCAAGUACCUCCCGACCAUCCCCUUCACCAUCUCCAUCACCGUCAACAGAUCCUCCCACAGCACAGUACCCCUGCCCAAAUCCUCGGGCAACACUACAACUGGGCUUCCUUCUCCUAUCCAUCCUCCAUGUUGGAAGUUGUGGCCAUGACCUCAGAGAUUGACACCUUGGAAUUGACAUCUAGGGUCAAGGAUGUUCUCCAGUUUCACAAUCUUGGCCAGAAGCUGUUUGGAGAGGCUGUGCUUGGGCUUUCGCAGGGCUCAGUUAGUGAGCUCCUGUCUAAGCCCAAACCCUGGCAUAUGCUCAGUAUCAAAGGGCGUGAGCCCUUCAUAAAAAUGCACCUAUGGUUGAGCGAUCCGCACAAUGUAGAUCGCCUCAAGCACUACCAGAACGAAAUCAAAGCCCAGCGCCGGAGAAGAAGCAGUAGUGUGGAUGAUCGUUCCUACGACUCGCCGUCAGCACCCAAACGCCCUCGAGUCUUUUUCAAUGAAGAUCAAAAGGAAAAAUUACGAAUGGCAUACAACCAGGACCCAUACCCAAACCAGAGUACCAUCGAAGGUUUGGCUAACGAACUCAAUGUUGGGGUUAAGACCGUUAUCAACUGGUUUCACAAUCACCGCAUGCGGGCCAAACAACAGCAGCAUGCCGGGAACACACCAGGUCCAGCAUCUGGCUCUAGCUUUAGCGACUUCUCAGGAAAUAUGGUAAAGUCUGAGCCAACUGACGACAACUCCGACCAGAGUGAUAUCUCUAGUAUGUCUGGAGAUGGCAACCAGUUUCAACCCAGUUUCCAGGGCAACGAAGGCUCUGGGCAGUGGUUGUUCCCACAGUUUGAGCCUGUGAACUCCAAACAACCUGGGCCUUUGGAAAGUGAAAGGGAAAAUGGGGAAGAGCUAGAGGAUGACCGUGUUUCUGGUGAGGCAUCUCCACUAUCAUCCAAAGCAUCGUCCCAGGGUGAUGAGGGGAAGGAGGAACAUGCAGGUUCAGGAGACGAGGCCCAGUACAAACAAGCAGCAUUACAGGUUCUGCCCCAGGUGGGUGUCAACAAACGCAAACGCUCCAAUCCCCAGUAUGUGUCUGAGGGGCGGCAGCUGGACAAAACUAAAACCACAACGACAGGGGGCUAUACAACGUGUCUACAAAGUAGCGUGUCGCGUGACGAGGGGGUGGAGGUGAGCGAGGGAGAUGAUACUGACGAUGACCUUGAAAAGGAGAAUGAGGAUGUCAGUAACUCGGGUAGUGUAAAGCCGCGUUACGAGCGGUGUACAAAAAUUGACAAGUUACAAAAGGCGAUUGAGUCGCCUGAUGAAGACUGGGAUGAAUUUGACCGAUCAGCUAGUAUAGAGAAACUUCAAAGCAAUCUGCAGCAUAGCCCAGGUGGGGGCUGGGAGUUCUGAGGCAGUGUGUAGGGGCACCAGACAAUCCUAGGGAUCCCUAUCAACUGAGGCAGUAUGGCAACGUUUAGAGCCACAAUGUGGAGAAGGGCAACAGUUACGGCCCCUAAAGGAGAAGGGCAACAGUUACGGCCCCUAAAGGAGAAGGGCAAAUGUUAUGGCCCCACAAAGAUGAGGGCAAUAGUUACAGCCUCCAAAAGAGAAGUGGCAGCCCUGACUCAGGGCUAGCAUGGAAGCCGCCAAGCCUAUUGGGGUAUAUAGGUAGGGGGGCUUGCCCAGUGCCAGUAAGCCGGGGAGCUAUAGACGUCAAUCUCAGUGAUUCUACAACAGUAUUUCCUGGAAGGGUAGCUUAAUCUAUUUUUAUACAAAGAUACUUUUUAUACCUUUUCACUACAAAAUCAAUGUAUACCUACAGUUACCUGUUAUCUGUGUUGUAGGCUCGUUUUUAUCUGUCACUUAUUACUCUGUCAACGGUGAGUGUAUGUGUGUGUGAACCAGCAAUUUUUGGUGCAAAUAUAUGGAAGACUAGGCUGCUAUGGCUAUAGGCGUCCCACUAGGACGGGCAUGCUCGUGUUCCAUAGGAACCUGCAGUGACAAUGGAAAUGAUUUGGGGCUACCCAGGAUGGAGAGUUGAUAGAUAUUGUGCGGUGGUAUGGUUACUCUGGAGCCGUGGUUGGCUCGCAGCAAGACGAUAACAGUACAUGUGUUCAAACCCUAACACGGUUAGCUCUUUGCUUUAUGUCAUUUUUGUUUAUUCUUUUUUUUUGUUUAUACUAUUUUGACACAAAGAUGUUUCUAUUAUAUACAAUUGUUGUUGAUUAACACUGGUUCUGUAGGCCUGUAUACGGUAGAGGAACGGCCAGCAGGCCGUAGCGUGUUCAGAACUGGUCUUGCGACUGGUCGCGGUAGUGUGUUCAGCGCCGGCUACGGUAGUUGUCUAGUCGCGACGUGUUCAGAGUGAGAGGUUUUGUUGGAACUCUUUAUUAAACAAUGUGUGUAAAAAUACAUAAAUUGAGUGCAAUAUUUCAGGGUUGCAAUGAAUUUGAAACAUUAAUAUGAAGAAAAAAAACAAUUUUGCAAAAAGAAAUUGCUCAAUUUUUGUGGUAGAAACUGUGGACUACACACUAUGACAGCUGACAGAGGGCUGUACGAGAGGUGCUAUAUAUGUGUGUAGACAGUGCUCAGGCACAACAACAUUUUAAUAGCUAAUAGCCAAAGUAUAAGGAAUUAGUAGCUUCACAUUUACACGUAUUCUUGUGCUAGCCAAGUGCGUGAGCAUUGUUAACCGGCUCGGUUGUUGAACGUUAAAGCGAGAGCCGACACCUGUUUUGUAUAUAGUCAGUUGCUCAUGCUCAGUUGUGCAUUUUAUCCGCAGAUUUUUCCAAAAAAAAGGCAUUUUGGACUAUUCUUCAUUUUUUUUUUUUUUUACAAUUAUUGUUGUUGUGUUACAGUAAUGGUAAACCAUUACAUGUAUUUGUGAAUUGAAAGUCUUGUUAAAUAUUUUUAUAUUUGAUUGAUUAUUAGAAUUUUUGCCAAAGUCUGUAAUGUGUGGCUCUACCGGUGGUACGUGGGGCGAUUAGCCAUGCGGUCACCAUUCAUGCUAACUUCAGUAUUUAGCCUGAGGUCGUCAGUGGGCGACGGUCAGUUACCAUUUCACUUCGCCUGUCGGUCAGUUUAUUGUCAUUUUUAAAACGUUUAUACAUAAGACUGUGUGUUUGUGUGAAUGCUGUAUCGGACAAGUACCUAUUCACCUUAUUGUUCCUUCAUCCCUUAGUACCUCAGAUAUCUCUUCUUCUCAAACUAGUACAUUUACGAUCUAGAUCAGUUUACUGAUAGUGCCUGUGGGGAUGGACAAGUCUAAUGCAUUCUGGAUCGGUCCAUUGUUACCCGUCAGGCUGAUCUGGACCUGUCCAUUGUUGUCCAUAGGGUUGAUCUGGACAGGUCCACUGCUGCCUGCAGAGCUGAUCUGGAUUAGUCCAUUGCUGCCCAUGGGGCUGAUCUGGACCGGUCCACUGCUUCUGGAUCAGUCCAUUGUUGUCGUUGACUGAGCUUGACCGGUCUAUGUGGAUAUUAGGUACAUGGGUACAGCACAUCGUGAAAUGAGCGUAAUCAAAUCGUGAUAGAUGUUAUCACAUGACACAAGCACACACCUCAAUUUAAUAGGCAGUUCAGAGUGACCUCUCUCAAAGGUCAACCUGUGAAUGACCUAUGUCAGAGUUCAACUUGAAAAGACCUGUAGCCAAAAUUGACUCAUGGUGGACCUUGUUACAGGUCAACUGAUGAUGACCUGUGUCAAAGGUCAAAUCAUGGCUGUGCAUAGUUUUUGCCCUGUUAUAAUUUUCCCUUAAGUUUACCUUUUAAAUUUGCUAUAAACAAUCAAAUGUUCAUUUUAAGAAAAUUUGUUGAGAAUGUAUGUGCCAUGUUGGCAUAUAACGUUUUUGUGAUUUCGAACUUUUUAAGUACAUUACAAGGCAAAGAAAUGUACAGCUGAUUUGAAAAAGAGGCUUACUUUUUUCCCUCUUUUAUCAAGACACCCUGUCAGUGUUGAAUCUACAAAGUGUAAAUCAAAAAUGUAUGUUUAUGAUAUUUGUUAGGGUUAGAGGCUUCUUAUCGAGGUAUGUACAGUGUACGGUGAUCCGGGUCGUACGCGAUCGCCCACCUCCUUACAGUGUACGGGAGGGUGAUCCGGGUCGUACGGGAGGGUGAUCCGGGUCGUACGGGAGGGUGAUCCGGGUCGUACGCGAUCGCCCAUCUCCUUAAUAGGCUCAGAAUUACCCCAAGUUUGAGGACCUAAUAGUAAAUCAGUUUAGAUUAACAAAGGACAAUCUUUACAGACAACAACAACAAAAAGUCCAGCGUUGAUUUCUUUUGAUUGAUGAUUCUUUUUAACAUUCAAAACUAACCAAACUUGAUUUUUACAAAAAUGAAAGUCUCACUUCACUGCCAUGAAACCUUGGCGUAGUCCGAGGUCAGAAACAUCUACAAUGAUACCCUUAGGUAAAUGUAGAACUGAAAUAAAACGCCUACCCAUAUUUCUACUAAGGCUACAUGUUACCACACUGAAACUGGCACAAUCUAAACAGAAAAGUUACCCUGCAAGAAGUUUCCAGAACACCCAGGUUUAAUGUAUAAGGCCACUUAUAAUAUAUUAGGUUCAUUGUAUGUAGGGAUGCUGAGGCCCCCCAAGUUUUCCCGUCACUGUAUCCUGGCCUCGUUUCUCCAGUGCCUACCACAGAGUCUGUACAUACUUGUGAGAUAGUGAGAUACCACCCUGUGCAAUAGGUAUCUGUUUGUUUGCUGUUUUCAUGUGAACUUUAUAGAUGUAUAGAGAAAUAAGCAUGUUUUAUCAUUAUGUUUACUUAUUCAGUGCUAAUAAAUAAUAUGCAAUGUUUGAUGUGAAAUUUCUCACCCGUCACUUGAUACUUCGUCUGCUUAAAAGGGUGAACUGAAAAAAUAGAGUAUUUAUUCCACGGCCUUCUUUUAAAUAGACAUUUAUUAUGUCACUUGUUUUCAUAUAAUUGUUUAGAAUCUCUCUUAGUUAGAUUUGAACUUUUUUAAGAAAUAAAAAAAAUAAAAAAUCAGAUAAAUUUCAUACUGAUGUGAAAAGUUACACCAAGUCAACGUGAAACCUUGUACUGAUACUAUGUUGUAAAGUUGUAUUAAGAUAUAAUACUGGUAGAGAUGUCGUAAAACAUUUGUCCCCAAUUAGUCAUUUGGCUUAUUACACUGCUGAAUACAACAAAAAUGCAAAUAUUCAGUGAAAGAAAUUUAUCUUUGUCGUUUAACUAACAAAGUGUUCAGAGGCGGUGUGAGAAAUGUUCUCGUCAUUAUUACUGCCAUCGAGGUACAGACAAUUUAUCAUGUUACUUUUAGCAUUUUUGUAAUUAUAAAGAUUUUAACCAAAGAAAAUUUAAUCUAAUGAUGUAGUAGUUGAGAUAUAUAUCUAUAUAUAUAUAUAUGUACAUAGUCGGGUGGGAGUUGUCUCCCCUUUCGCUGCAAUAUUUUUAUGUAGGAUGAUUUUGAUGAUUUUGUAUAUUUUGUUUACUGAAUGUUAACAGUGCAAUUUGUUUAAGUUUGAGUAGGAUAACUUUCCCUGACAUCAAAAAUUGUGUCUGCAGUCUGUCACUAUAUUCCCCUGUUUAUGUGCAAUCCACGUUUAUAGCGUUAAGCCAAAUGUUUUAUCUUAUUUCUAGACAGCUCAGAUUUUUAUCACAAUUGACGCCAAAUUUUGCUUUAGUAAGAUUUUACUGUGGGGUAGGACAUUUUAAAACUUUUUACCUUACCAGUUUGUUCAGUGGUAGAACAUCAACUUUUUACCUUACCAGUUUGUUCAGUGGUAGAACACAACUUUUUACCUUACCAGUUUGUUCAGUGGUAGAACACAACUUUUUACCUUACCAGUUUGUUCAGUGGUAGAACAUCAACUUUUUACCUUACCAGUUUGUUCAGUGGUAGAACAUCAACUUUUUACCUUACCAGUUUGUUCAGUGGUAGGAAGAUCUAAUGUGACAGAAUUAGACUGGUUUUACUACCAUAAACAUACAGGUCCCCGGGACGUGACAUAAUUAGACUGGUUUUACUACCAUAAACAUACAGGUCCCCGGGACGUGACAGAAUUAGACUGGUUUUACUACCAUAAACAUACAGGUACCCGGGACGUGACAGAAUUAGACUGGUUUUACUACCAUAAACAUAUAGGUCCCCGGGACGUGACAGAAUUAGACUGGUUUUACUACCAUAAACAUACAUGUCCCCAGGGCGUGACUGAAUUAGACUGGUUUUACGACCAUAAACAUACAGGUCCCCGGGACGGGACAGAAUUAGACUGGUUUUUCUACCAUAAACAUACAGGUCCCCUGGACGUGACAGAAUUAGACUGGUUUUACUACCAUAAGCAUACAUGUCCCCAGGGCGUGACUGAAUUAGACCGGUUUUACGACCAUAAACAUACAGGUCCCCGGGACGGGACAGAAUUAGCCUGGUUUUUCUACCAUAAACAUACAGGUCCCUGGGACGUGACAGAAUUAGAUUGGUUUUACUACCAUAAACAUACAGGUCCCCGGGACGUGACAUAAUUAGACUGGUUUUACAGCCUUAAACAUACAGGUUCCCAGGACGUGACAGAAUUAGACUGGUUUUACGACCAUAAACAUACAGGUCCCCUGUGAUGGUUCCUCAUCUAACAAAUUUUACUUUAUUAUGGUUUGGUAGAUAGGUAUGUAGACUUCCGAGGGUAAAAGAUAAUUCAGCAAUAUUUACAACUUGUUAUUAGGAAUUUUAUAGGGUAAAGUUUCUGACGUUACUGUUGAGUCUGGUGAAGACUGUUCGGUGUACUUCCCAACAGCUGUAUUUGUUUUUAUGAAAUAUGGUUUACUUCAAUCCUACUUGUAUCAAUUUCACCUGUGACUUCCGUAUUUGGAUUUCACCUAUGUUAAUCACCUGUUUUUCUUCACCUGUUUCUCCCCUUAUUUCUCCCCAGAGGUGUUUUUUCACAAGGGUCUGAUUUUGGGUUCGGGUAGAUAUAGACCAGUAACUGCAAGAAUGGUUAAAGCUUUAAUUUUCUGAAAAUUUAUGGAAAUCCAUGCAAUAAAGUCUGGGUUUGUUUAAAAAAGAUUGUUGACAAUCGUAGUGAUAUAUUCCCCGAUACAUCUACUUAUCUCCCCCUUGCUUCCCUCUCCUGGUUACCUCCCCUUGGUGCCAGCCCUAGUAUUGCCGCAAUUGUUCUAUCGUGACAAGUUAAAAUACUGUAGUAUGUUCGUACUAGUAAUCUAUGUAAACCAUUUUCUUGUGAUGUCCGCCAGAAAUUCCCAGACUGUAAGAUAUCCCCCAACAUUAUAAUGUAUUUACCAAAAAAUAUUUUAUUUGUAAAAUUACUGAUAUUCUGCCAUUUUGGUUUUCAUGUUUACAUGGAAGCUACCUGAUAGGAGGGUGUUACAGCCCCUCCUGCCCACUGUACAGUGUCCUGAGGAGUGACCAGUGGCGGUCUGGACACCCUGUUUGUUAUGUAAGUGUAGUCGGCCACUAUAUGCUACUGACCAAAGGAGAGUUUUGAUAGCUUCUUGCUUUAUUGAGGAGUCAUAAUAGUAAUAAGUUCAUUUUCAUUUGAUUUGCAUUUUUUUUUUGUUAUAUACAUGUGUUAAUAGCUGCAUUUGUUAAUCCUCAACCCGCUACAGUAAAUUUAUAUGAUCUAGUUAUAUCUCCAAAUCCUUCAUGUCUUUGAUUUUCCUUUUAUGUUAUAUCCUAGAGAAGUGACACAAACUACUAGGGUUGAAUAGCAAGCGAUUUCGGGGGUAAAACUCUGAGAAUAUUGUGGCUUGUUAAUCACCUCCCUAUCUAUGUAUCAGUAUAUAAAUAACUAUAUAUAUGCUCAAAGUCUUAUAGAGUGACCCAAAGAAAUGUAUAUAUGAUAGAUAUAUAUAUAUAUGAUUAUACUCGCUACAUAACAAAUGGUAUGUUAGAAUGAUUAUUUUUCUACAAUAAACUUCUAUGAUGUUAAUCAAAGUGAUGUUAUAUUGCUAACACCUGUACGGUUACCUGUCGGGUGUACCUCGACACAAACAAUAGCCUUCCCCACUCCCUCACUUUCUCCACAGCUCUUUCUCUUGCCUCAUCAUAGAUUUGAAAAAAUAUAUCUUUUUCAAAAUCCAAAAGCUUCUGUUUCAUAAAACAGUUCAACUUAGAUUGUUUUCCUGAACUGAAAUUUACCCACAGAAUGUAUUGCCUUACCUAAAGGGAAACCUCGACCCAGUAUGAUGUCGGUCAAUGAAAUUCAAAAAAUCGGUCAAAAUUUUAAACUGGAUUUUAUUCAAUUUUAAUGUAUUAACAGCAAUUUAAUUCAAUUUCAGAUUAAAUUAUAUUGCAUGUAUUAAAAAUAAGUUUUUGAAAUAAAUAGGCGAAAAUAGGUGAACUGUUUAUUGGUCAUGUUACAUUACAAAUAUCCAGAUACUAACUUAUAAUUGAAAUAUUCGAGGAGACGUUGGUGAAUACAGGAACAUGUCUUUUAAUAGAAGACGAAGAUGUCUAUAAAUAGAUUUGGGAAAUGUUUAUAAUAAAUGUAGGAAGAGGUCCAUAAUAGAAGACAGAUGUCUAUAAAUAGAUUAGGUCCUUUUAAGGGGUAUUGUUGAAGGGAUAUGUCUCUAUUAAUAGAAUUAAGGAGCUGUGGAGCGGUGAAUUUUCCUUGAUCUUUUCUACAACUUUUUUGUGAAUGUGCACUGUCUUUUUAACCCUCACAGAUACUAUGAUCAGUUUUUAUACAGAGAUUUUAUUUUAUUUUAAGAUUUUAAUCAUUUUUAAUGCAAGAGAAAUGACACAAAACUUUGUAUGGUGUGAAUCCGACGUAAUGACGUAAACACUUUGUACCAAUGCAUUUUGAUUUGAUCAAAUAAACAUAUUAAAAAUAAUGGUGGCUGUCACUUUUAGGUUGAGGAAAUGAUUGUAGUUGUUGUUUUCAUUUUCAUUUGAAUUGUUUUCAAUUUUAAUAAUAAAGGUUGUAUGUAAGUGACGUAAUUCAUUGUCACACUUCAAAAACUCGCCCGGUUAUAUGUGGACUAUAUCGUUAGAGGAUGUGAAUUUUUGUACGACCCUCUCCCUUUUAUGAGUACGGAGCCUCAAUGUGAGAACCUACUCGUCACCAUAGUGACACAACCAUUAAAUAUAAACCAGGAGUGCUAUAUUUAGAACUAUUUGCCAUUUUUUUGUGGUUUUGACGCGACUUUACAAAUUGUUAUUAUUGCAUGAUCUAGACCUAUUAAUGAAUAUAUGUAUUACAGCAAUGAUUUUUUUCUCUGGUAUUUACCAACAAACUCUGCUAUUUUCCGAUACUGUCUUUUUGACUUCAGCCCUUUCUGUGCUUAAUUUGUACAAGGUACACAAGAAAACUUUUUUCUCAUCUCUGUUUUUUGUGGAUUUUAAUCGUUGGUGGGACGACGUUCCCAGGUGUUUAAUUGUUGGUGGAACAGCGCCCCCUGGUGUCAAACGUCAUCAGCGUAAGACGUCGGACCACAGUUUUGGUGUAUCUAGUCCGAUUGAAAGGGAUGUAUCAGCGCAUUUAACUUUUUCCAUGUUAUAAGUAAUUACAGCUAUACACAGUUGAUUAUUAUUUUAUACUCUAGGUGCUUCAACACUGGAAUAAAAACAUUGUAUAUCAUU
rnacentral:misc_RNA from 1 species